CAAAGUGAAACUCCAAUGCUGUCGGCCAGUUUUCGAGCUCCGUCCGUCACAGUCGACGUCAUUUUCUCCUCCACCGGCCACCGGCCACAUCGUCGAUUGCAUGACAUGGGUAAAGAUGAAGAAGGGAAAGGAGGUCUGCCAAUGUAACAUCCUUAGGAACAAACUUAAUUGAGAUGGUUCGAAAGACUGAUGCAAGUUGUUGCAACUUUCGACUGCUAUCUGAAAAAUGGAAGUGCAAUUAUUAUUGCUUUUUCUCUUGCUCUGAUUUUGCUUACUGCCUUUACCUAAAUGUAGCAAACCACUUUCAAGUUAAUAUAAAAAAUUGAUGCGUGGGAGAUUUGUUGGAAUUUUAGUGAAUUCUAGAAGCCAAGAUCACACCUCAAAUCAUUGUUAAAAAAAAAAAAAAAAAAAGUUUUGGCAACUAUGCAAUGUAUGAUUUAUGAGCUUUGUAGGUAUGCUAAAUAGAAAAAAACCGCUACACUUGUUCUUAGGUUGAAGGAGGACAAGAACUUGUAAACCAAGCAAAGAUGGAUGCCAUUUCCCAUAGCUAAUAAUUGGCUCUAAUUCUUAGUGCACAAACAUUAGGAGAUGCAAGCUUGCUCAGUUGAUGAUUUGGAGUCCUGUUGUUUAUAGUUUUGGAUUUCGAGUUUGCUCGAGUUGAUGUAUUAUGUAUUCGAUCUUGUUGAAUUGAUGAUUCGAGUUUUUAUGAUGUAAUCUCAGACUUGUUAUAGAUUUGGAUUUCGAGUUUUUAA